rnacentral:rRNA from 1 species
AUUGAACGCUGACGGCAUGCCUUACACAUGCAAGUCGAACGGCAGCACGGGAGCAAUCCUGGUGGCGAGUGGCGAACGGGUGAGUAAUGUAUCGGAACGUACCUUUCAGUGGGGGAUAACGUAGCGAAAGUUACGCUAAUACCGCAUAUUCUGUGAGCAGGAAAGCAGGGGAUCGCAAGACCUUGCGCUGAUUGAGCGGCCGAUAUCAGAUUAGCUAGUUGGUGAGGUAAAGGCUCACCAAGGCGACGAUCUGUAGCGGGUCUGAGAGGAUGAUCCGCCACACUGGAACUGAGACACGGUCCAGACUCCUACGGGAGGCAGCAGUGGGGAAUUUUGGACAAUGGCGCAAGCCUGAUCCAGCCAUGCCGCGUGAGUGAACCCCCCCCCGAAGGACCGUCGGUUGGUUAAGGUACGUAC